GGAAAAACUUUGUCCGUUCGGCAGUCUGUUGGCGUGCCAGAAUCCGAUCAAAAAGGCGGAGCUCGGGAUGUGACAGAUUAAAUGGUAUUAGAGCAUAAAGAGAAUAAUGAAAACUGUUUAGAUGGACCUAGGGGACCUAGGAUAGUAAACCAUAGAGAUUAAGGCUCGUGAGAGACGAGAAUCUUGAUCUGUGGCGAGAGGUUAAACCGAUUGGG
rnacentral:lncRNA from 1 species